rnacentral:rRNA from 1 species
UGAGGAAUAUUGGUCAAUGGUCGAGAGACUGAACCAGCCAAGUCGCGUGAAGGAUGACUGCCCUAUGGGUUGUAAACUUCUUUUACAAGGGAAUAAAAUGAGAUACGUGUAUUUUAUUGCAUGUACCUUGUGAAUAAGCAUCGGCUAACUCCGUGCCAGCAGCCGCGGUAAUACGGAGGAUGCGAGCGUUAUCCGGAUUUAUUGGGUUUAAAGGGUGCGUAGGUGGGCUGUUAAGUCAGCGGUGAAAGUUUGUCGCUUAACGAUAAAAUUGCCGUUGAAACUGGUAGUCUUGAGUAUAGAUGAAGUAGGCGGAAUGCGUGGUGUAGCGGUGAAAUGCAUAGAGAUCCCGCAGAACUCCGAUUGCGAAGGCAGCUUACUAAGGUAUAACUGACACUGAAGCACGAAAGCGUGGGUAUCAAACAGG